AAUAGGUUACCUACCUAGAGCACACUUGAGAUCAACACAGGCCCGCUAUUCUAGCCUGGAGACAAGACAGCUGUCACCCACGUUUUUACGCUGCCUGGACGCUUCUGGUGCUGCUGUGCUUGCUGGGAGGGAGAGGAGGGUCUUAGAUGGCUGGCGCUUGCGCAGUCGGCCUGGUGGAGAGCAAGAAGAUGUAUCCGGCGGUGGCGGCAUGUUGUCGGCUGCAGGAGUUGUCGGCUGAUGGCGGCGUUUUCGGCAGAGGUACAGGCCCGGAGAGUGCAGGAGUGAAGACAUCUUCAUGGAUAUGAAACUGGACGCAGAGUUGACGCUGAAGUUCAGCUGCCGAGUCAUCUUCCAUUUCUAGAGACUGCUCGAUUUCCUGCUAAACACACUUGGGGCUUCUUCCUGGAGAGGAGCAACUGCUCCAUGCCAAUGUGUGUCCUGUUGCCAGUGAGGAGUGUGCCUGUGCCUGGCGCUUUGACCCAGAAGUGCACCCGCAGGUGCCGCCACUUCUGCCCUCGAUGCACUGGUGGGAGUCAGAGCCAUGUCUGCUCCUUCCCAGAGCCUUGAGGAGCCGCCUUCAACGCUGGUGGCUGAACCUGAGGAGACCCAGGGCCCCCCCAGGCUCAGGCCGGGAUCAGACUGCACACAUGGAGGAGAAAGCAGAAGCUUAGAGAAACGCCAAGAAUCCCCCUGUGCUCUGUUCCAGCCUGUCCAAAAUUCUGACACCUCACACCCCUUCUGGAAGCAAUGGCUGUCCCGCCAGCAGACCAGGCCCCCUUGGAGGCUCCACAGCGGCCUCGAGGUCUUGCAGCAUGAUGUCAUAGAAACUGCUUUGUACUGGUGA
rnacentral:lncRNA from 1 species